rnacentral:rRNA from 1 species
UUAAGCGACUAAGCGUACACGGUGGAUGCCCUGGCAGUCAGAGGCGAUGAAGGACGUGCUAAUCUGCGAUAAGCGUCGGUAAGGUGAUAUGAACCGUUAUAACCGGCGAUUUCCGAAUGGGGAAACCCAGUGUGUUUCGACACACUAUCAUUAACUGAAUCCAUAGGUUAAUGAGGCGAACCGGGGGAACUGAAACAUCUAAGUACCCCGAGGAAAAGAAAUCAACCGAGAUUCCCCCAGUAGCGGCGAGCGAACGGGGAGCAGCCCAGAGCCUGAAUCAGUGUGUGUGUUAGUGGAAGCGUCUGGAAAGGCGCGCGAUACAGGGUGACAGCCCCGUACACAAAAAUGCACAUGCUGUGAGCUCGAUGAGUAGGGCGGGACACGUGGUAUCCUGUCUGAAUAUGGGGGGACCAUCCUCCAAGGCUAAAUACUCCUGACUGACCGAUAGUGAACCAGUACCGUGAGGGAAAGGCGAAAAGAACCCCGGCGAGGGGAGUGAAAAAGAACCUGAAACCGUGUACGUACAAGCAGUGGGAGCCUCUUUAUGGGGUGACUGCGUACCUUUUGUAUAAUGGGUCAGCGACUUAUAUUCUGUAGCAAGGUUAACCGAAUAGGGGAGCCGAAGGGAAACCGAGUCUUAACUGGGCGUUAAGUUGCAGGGUAUAGACCCGAAACCCGGUGAUCUAGCCAUGGGCAGGUUGAAGGUUGGGUAACACUAACUGGAGGACCGAACCGACUAAUGUUGAAAAAUUAGCGGAUGACUUGUGGCUGGGGGUGAAAGGCCAAUCAAACCGGGAGAUAGCUGGUUCUCCCCGAAAGCUAUUUAGGUAGCGCCUCGUGAAUUCAUCUCCGGGGGUAGAGCACUGUUUCGGCAAGGGGGUCAUCCCGACUUACCAACCCGAUGCAAACUGCGAAUACCGGAGAAUGUUAUCACGGGAGACACACGGCGGGUGCUAACGUCCGUCGUGAAGAGGGAAACAACCCAGACCGCCAGCUAAGGUCCCAAAGUCAUGGUUAAGUGGGAAACGAUGUGGGAAGGCCCAGACAGCCAGGAUGUUGGCUUAGAAGCAGCCAUCAUUUAAAGAAAGCGUAAUAGCUCACUGGUCGAGUCGGCCUGCGCGGAAGAUGUAACGGGGCUAAACCAUGCACCGAAGCUGCGGCAGCGACACUAUGUGUUGUUGGGUAGGGGAGCGUUCUGUAAGCCUGUGAAGGUGUGCUGUGAGGUAUGCUGGAGGUAUCAGAAGUGCGAAUGCUGACAUAAGUAACGAUAAAGCGGGUGAAAAGCCCGCUCGCCGGAAGACCAAGGGUUCCUGUCCAACGUUAAUCGGGGCAGGGUGAGUCGACCCCUAAGGCGAGGCCGAAAGGCGUAGUCGAUGGGAAACAGGUUAAUAUUCCUGUACUUGGUGUUACUGCGAAGGGGGGACGGAGAAGGCUAUGUUGGCCGGGCGACGGUUGUCCCGGUUUAAGCGUGUAGGCUGGUUUUCCAGGCAAAUCCGGAAAAUCAAGGCUGAGGCGUGAUGACGAGGCACUACGGUGCUGAAGCAACAAAUGCCCUGCUUCCAGGAAAAGCCUCUAAGCAUCAGGUAACAUCAAAUCGUACCCCAAACCGACACAGGUGGUCAGGUAGAGAAUACCAAGGCGCUUGAGAGAACUCGGGUGAAGGAACUAGGCAAAAUGGUGCCGUAACUUCGGGAGAAGGCACGCUGAUGUGUAGGUGAAGCGACUUGCUCGUGGAGCUGAAAUCAGUCGAAGAUACCAGCUGGCUGCAACUGUUUAUUAAAAACACAGCACUGUGCAAACACGAAAGUGGACGUAUACGGUGUGACGCCUGCCCGGUGCCGGAAGGUUAAUUGAUGGGGUCAGCCGCAAGGCGAAGCUCUUGAUCGAAGCCCCGGUAAACGGCGGCCGUAACUAUAACGGUCCUAAGGUAGCGAAAUUCCUUGUCGGGUAAGUUCCGACCUGCACGAAUGGCGUAAUGAUGGCCAGGCUGUCUCCACCCGAGACUCAGUGAAAUUGAACUCGCUGUGAAGAUGCAGUGUACCCGCGGCAAGACGGAAAGACCCCGUGAACCUUUACUAUAGCUUGACACUGAACAUUGAGCCUUGAUGUGUAGGAUAGGUGGGAGGCUUUGAAGCGUGGACGCCAGUCUGCGUGGAGCCGACCUUGAAAUACCACCCUUUAAUGUUUGAUGUUCUAACGUGGACCCGUGAUCCGGGUUGCGGACAGUGUCUGGUGGGUAGUUUGACUGGGGCGGUCUCCUCCUAAAGAGUAACGGAGGAGCACGAAGGUUGGCUAAUCCUGGUCGGACAUCAGGAGGUUAGUGCAAUGGCAUAAGCCAGCUUGACUGCGAGCGUGACGGCGCGAGCAGGUGCGAAAGCAGGUCAUAGUGAUCCGGUGGUUCUGAAUGGAAGGGCCAUCGCUCAACGGAUAAAAGGUACUCCGGGGAUAACAGGCUGAUACCGCCCAAGAGUUCAUAUCGACGGCGGUGUUUGGCACCUCGAUGUCGGCUCAUCACAUCCUGGGGCUGAAGUAGGUCCCAAGGGUAUGGCUGUUCGCCAUUUAAAGUGGUACGCGAGCUGGGUUUAGAACGUCGUGAGACAGUUCGGUCCCUAUCUGCCGUGGGCGCUGGAGAACUGAGGGGGGCUGCUCCUAGUACGAGAGGACCGGAGUGGACGCAUCACUGGUGUUCGGGUUGUCAUGCCAAUGGCACUGCCCGGUAGCUAAAUGCGGAAGAGAUAAGUGCUGAAAGCAUCUAAGCACGAAACUUGCCCCGAGAUGAGUUCUCCCUGACUCCUUGAGAGUCCUGAAGGAACGUUGAAGACGACGACGUUGAUAGGCCGGGUGUGUAAGCGCAGCGAUGCGUUGAGCUAACCGGUACUAAUGAACCGUGAGGCUUAACCUU